rnacentral:rRNA from 1 species
GAUGAACGCUGGCGGCGUGCCUAAUACAUGCAAGUCGAGCGAACGGACGAGAAGCUUGCUUCUCUGAUGUUAGCGGCGGACGGGUGAGUAACACGUGGAUAACCUACCUAUAAGACUGGGAUAACUUCGGGAAACCGGAGCUAAUACCGGAUAAUAUUUUGAACCGCAUGGUUCAAAAGUGAAAGACGGUCUUUCUGUCACUUCUCGCUGCAUCCGCGCUGCAUUAGCUAGUUGGUAAGGUAACGGCUUACCAAGGCAACGAUGCAUAGCCGACCUGAGAGAGGGAUAGGCCACACUGGAACUGAGACACGGUCAAGACGCCUACGGGAGGCAGCAGUAGGGAAUCGGACGCAAUGGGCGAAAGCCUGACGGAGCAACGCCACGUGAGUGAUGAAGGUCUUCGGAUCGUAAAACUCUGUUAUUAGGGAAGAACAUAUGUGUAAGUAACUGUGGACAGCUUGACGGUACCUAAUCAGAAAGCCACGGCUAACUACGUG